rnacentral:rRNA from 1 species
GACGAACGCUGGCGGCGUGCUUAACACAUGCAAGUCGAACGGAAAGGCCCUUCUUUUGUGGGGUUCUCGAUUGGCGAACGUGUGAGUAACACGUGAGUAACCUGCCCUUUACUUUGGUAUAUCUUCAGGAAACUUGGGCUAAUACCGUAUAUGUGCUCCUGCUGCAUUGUUUGGUUUUGAAAGUUUCGGCGGUUGGGGAUGGACUCGCGGGUUAUCAGCUUGUUGGUUGGGUAGUUGCUUACCAAGGCUUUGACGGGUAGCCGGCAUGAGAGGGUGACCGGCAAAAUUGGGACUGAGAUACGGCCCAGACUCCAACGGGAGGCAGCAGUGGGGAAUAUUGCACAAUGGGCGGAAGCCUGAUGCAGCAACGCCGCGUGCGGGAUGACGGCCUUCGGGUUGUAAACCGCUUUAGCCUGUGACGAAGCGUGAGUGACGGUAAUGGGUAAAGAAGCACCGGCUAACUACGUG